GAUCGGCCCGCGUUGGAUUAGCUAAUUGGUGGGGUAAAGGCCUACCAAGGCGACGAUCCAUAGCUGGUCUGAGAGGAUGAUCACCCCCAUUGGGACUGAGACACGGCCCAAACUCCUACGGGAGGCAGCAGUGGGGAAUAUUGGACAAUGGGCGCAAGCCUGAUCCACCCAUGCCGCGUGAGUGAUGAAGGCCCUAGGGUUGUAAAGCUCUUUCACCGGAAAAGAUAAUGACGGUAUCCGGAAAAGAAGCCCCGGCUAACUUCGUGCCAGCAGCCGCGGUAAUCCGAAGGGGGCUAGCGUUGUUCGGAAUUACUGGGCGUAAAGCGCACGUAGGCGGACAUUUAAGUCAGGGGUGAAAUCCCAGAGCUCAACUCUGGAACUGCCUUUGAUACUGGGUGUCUUGAGUAUGGAAGAGGUGAGUGGAAUUCCGAGUGUAAAGGUGAAAUUCGUAAAUAUUCUGAGGAACACCAUUGGCAAAGGCGGCUCACUGGUCCAUUACUGACGCUGAGGUGCGAAAGCGUGGGGAGCAAACACGAUUAGAUACCCUGGGAGUCCACGCCGUAGACGAUGAAUGUUAGCCGUCGGGCAGUAUACUGUUCGGUGGCCCAGCUACACGCAUUAAACAUUCCGCCUGGAGAGUACGGUCGCAAGAUUAAAACUUCGAAAGGAAUUUGACGGGGGCCCCCACAAAGCGGAGUAAGCCAUGUGGGUUGAAUUCCAAAGCCAAACGCGCAGGAAACCUUUACCAUGCCCCUUGACAUUGCCCAGGCUACCCUGGCAAUAAGAUGG
rnacentral:rRNA from 1 species